ACAAUAUUUAUUUAAAGACACGUAUGCUAUAGUUCCAAUCACCUCAUUUCAAUUCCUCAUUCCAAGAUAUAAGAAAAUAGUAAGAGCAAGAAACACUCCACCAGCCCUUUAUUUUCUUCGUACCAUUAGAGGUACUCAAGGAGAAAGCUAUGAUAUGUGAUGUUUGAAGCGUGCACGAACGGGGAAAAUUGGGUUUUGUAAAUUUGAGAAUUUUAUGUAAUGAAUAGUUCGUCGUUGUAUUUUCUUCUGCCGCAAAUUUUCAAACUAUUGUUCAUUUUUACUUAAGUUUCAAUAAAUUUCAUUUCAAUUUCUUUUA